rnacentral:rRNA from 1 species
CCUACGGGAGGCAGCAGUGAGGAAUAUUGGUCAAUGGCCGCAGGGCUGAACCAGCCAAGUCGCGUGAGGGAUGACGGUCCUAUGGAUUGUAAACCUCUUUUGUCGGGGAGCAAAUGGCUCCACGUGUGGCGUUUUGCGAUUACCUUAAGAAAAAACAUCGGCUAACUUCGUGCCAGCAGCCGCGGUAAUACGGGGGAUGGGAGCGGUAUCCGGAUCUAUUGGGUUUAAGGGGUGGGCAGGGGGAAUGUCAUGUCAGGGGUAAAAUCUCGGGGCGCAACCCCGUCGUGCCGUUGAAACUGGUGUUCUUGAGUGAGCGAGAAGUAUGCGGAAUGCGUGGUGUAGCGGUGAAAUGCAUAGAUAUCACGCAGAACACCGAUUGCGAAGGCAGCAUACCGGCGCUCAACUGACGCUCAUGUACGAAAGCGUGGGUAUCGAACAGGAUUAGAUACCCUAGUAGUC